rnacentral:rRNA from 1 species
UACGAAGGGGGCUAGCGUUGUUCGGAAUCACUGGGCGUAAAGCGCACGUAGGCGGAUUUUUAAGUCAGGGGUGAAAUCCCGAGGCUCAACCCCGGAAUUGCCUUUGAGACUGCAUCGCUAGAAUUGUGGAGAGGUAAGUGGAAUUCCGAGUGUAGAGGUGAAAUUCGUAGAUAUUCGGAAGAACACCAGUGGCGAAGGCGACUUACUGGACACAUAUUGACGCUGAGGUGCGAAAGCGUGGGGAGCAAACAGG